rnacentral:tRNA from 1 species
CUGUUGACGUCACAAUGGAUAACGUGUCUGACUACGGAUCAGAAGAUUGUAGGUUCGAUUCCUGGCUGGCUCGAAAGA